UGCAGUCGACGGUAACAGGUCUUCCGAUGCUGACUAGUGGCGAACGGGUGAGUAAUACAUCGGAACGUGCCCGAUCGUGGGGGAUAACGGAGCGAAAGCUUUGCUAAUACCGCAUAACAUCUAAGGAUGAAAGCAGGGGACCGCAAGGCCUUGCGCGAACGGAGCGGCCGAUGGCAGAUUAGGUAGUUGGUGGGGUAAAGGCUUACCAAGCCUACGAUCUGUAGCUGGUCUGAUAGGACGACCAACCACACUGGGACUGAGACACGGCCCAGACUCCUACGGGAGGCAGCAUUGGGGAAUUUUGGACAAUGGGCGCAAGCCUGAUCCAGCCAUGCCGCGUGCAGGAUGAAGGCCUUCGGGUUGUAAACUGCUUUUGUACGGAACGAAAAGACUCCUUCUAAUAAAGGGGGUUCAUGACGGUACCGUAAGAAUAAGCACCGGCUAACUACAUGCCAGCAGCCGCGGUAAUACGUACGGUGCGAGCGUUAAUCGGAAUUACUGGGCGUAAAGCGUGCGCAGGCGGUGAUGUAAGACAGAUGUGAAAUCCCCGGGCUCAACCUGGCAACUGCAUUUGUGACUGCAUCGCUGGAGUGCGGCAGAGGGGGAUGGAAUUCCGCGUGUAGCAGUGAAAUGCGUAUAUAUGCGGAAGAACACCGAUGGCGAAGGAACUCCCCUGGCCCUGCACUGACUCUCAUGCACGAAAGCGUGUGGAGCAAACAGGAUUGAUACCCUGGUAGUCCACGCCCUAACGAUGUCACUGGUUGUUGGGUCUUCACUGACUCUUACGAAUCUAACGCGUGAUGUUGACGUCUGGGAGUACGGCCGCACGUUUGAACUCAACGAAUUGACUGAGACCACACAGCGUGGAUGAUGUGAUUUACUUCGAUGCACGCGAAUAACUUACCCACCUUUGACAGUACUGCAUCUUUAGACGAUCGACGAUGCUCGUAAGAUAGCGUACUCAUGUGCUGCAUGCUGUCGUCAGCUCAUGUCUGAGAUGU
rnacentral:rRNA from 1 species